GAUGAACGCUGGCGGCGUGCCUAACACAUGCAAGUCGAGCGUGAUUUAUGAGGACGACACUUCGGUCUAGGAAUCAUAAUGAAAGCGGCGGACGGGUGAGUAACGCGUAGGCAACCUGCCCUUAACACAGGGAUAGCCUCGGGAAACCGGGAUUAAAACCUGAUGAUGCCAACGAGUCACAUGGCUCGUUGGCCAAAGAUUUAUCGGUUAAGGAUGGGCCUGCGUCUGAUUAGUUUGUUGGUGGGGUAACGGCCUACCAAGACUACGAUCAGUAACCGACCUGAGAGGGUGAUCGGCCACAUUGGAACUGAGACACGGUCCAAACUCCUACGGGAGGCAGCAGUGGGGAAUAUUGCACAAUGGGCGAAAGCCUGAUGCAGCAACGCCGCGUGAGCGAUGAAGGCCUUUGGGUCGUAAAGCUCUGUCCUUGGGGAAGAAACAAAUGACGGUACCCAAGGAGGAAGCCCCGGCUAACUACGUGCCAGCCGCCGCGGUAACAC
rnacentral:rRNA from 1 species